GACAGAGGUGCCAAGCGUUAGGCGGAAUCACUGGGCUUAAAGCGUGUGUAGGCGGACUUGUAAGUACCUUGUGAAAUCCCACGGCUCAACCGUGGAACUGCUUGGUAUACUGCUUGUCUUGAGCCACUUAGGGGCUACCGGAACAAAUGGUGGAGCGGUGAAAUGCGUAGAUAUCAUUUGGAACGCCAAUGGUGAAAACAGGUAGCUGGGAGUGUGCUGACGCUGAGACACGAAAGCCAGGGGAGCGAGCGGG
rnacentral:rRNA from 1 species